rnacentral:misc_RNA from 1 species
UAAAAGACAUCGGGAUCGAAAUACAAAUGAUGUAAAUGUAUAUAAUUUCACCUGGAAAAGAACGCCCACCUCACAAAUGGCGAUCACUUAUAGUAGUAUAUCCAGAGGGACAACUAUUCUUUGCAGUCAUCAGACUGGCUCUGGAUCCUUUGAGAAUGUGGUACAGUCAAUAAUCAAAAACAUUCCCACUAGGAAUGAUGGCAAAACAACAUACCAAUCAGAGAGAUUAAGCGAAAAUUUCAGAGUGGAACACUUUCGAUGAAGGCUGUGAAUUGUGGAUUGCAUGAACUGGACAGUGAGUUUGGAUUCAUCAUGGCUCAGGAUAUGGAGAAAUUUUCCAAACCAGGUGCAGGAGAUCAUGUAUCUACUUUACGAUCUCAAGUGGAUGAUGUCAAAAAUGUUAUGACGCAAAACAUUGAAAGAGUUCUAGACCGAGGAGAAAGACUGGAAAACUUGAUUGACAAAACAGAAGAAUUAGAGGCCAGUUCAUCCCAAUUUCAGAAAACUGCCAGAAAAAUAAGGAAGAAAUACUGGUGGAAAAACACCAAGAUGAUGAUCAUCAUCGGUGUCAUAGCGUUCAUUGUCCUCGUAGUCAUCGUUAUUCUAAUACUCAAUGGUUUAAAAGUAUUUAGCAAAGAAGAUUCAAAAACAACGGUUGCUCCUACCACUAGUAAAUCUCUAUCAGGUGUUUGAUUUGUACUUUGUUUGUUGUAUUUUUAUAGUUAAUCAAUUGAAAAUGGAGAUACAGGUUGUUAAAUUUUACUUAUUAAAUCAAAUUGACUGUGAUUAUGUUCUGCAAAAGUGGAACUUAAAAUUGUUUUUAGAGUUCUUCAACAUUUUUAUUCAAUUAAUUUUGAACAUUUUAAUGAAACUGCAGAAUUCUUAAACAACAAGUAAAUUUUUCAUUUUUUAUCUAUGAAGUGCAUUGUUCAUAAUUUCAAUUCACUGUAUGUAUGUGAAAUAUAUGAAUAACAUUUUAAAGUUUUAUUAUCACUAAUUGUCUACAUAUGAAUGCACAGGUUGAAGAUCACAUUAAAUUUUCAUUGUCUUGUCCUCAGUUUUAGCUCACCUGACUUACGUGACAAUUUUUUAUCAAGAUUUGUCUUCAAUUUUGGCAUCUGUCCACCUGUUUGUCUGUCAACAUUUUUUUAUUCCACUUUUGGAACAACUUAGCUGAUAUCCAUCAAAUUAGACACAAAACUUCUGUUCAAUUUUUGUUCACAAAGAUGCCACACUCUCUGGCUUGGAGGAAAGUUAAAUAAGGAAUGAUAUUUAUAGCAUCCAGAGUUUGAUAAAUUUUGUAUUCAGGUUGUAUAGUUAGUUCAAGUUUUUUCAAACCAUGAACCACAAGGGUUUGGAAAGGGUUGCAUUGGGAUUCAAAGUUCAUCAACAAAUGGAAAGGGGUAAUUCCUUUUGGUGUCAGUGUAACUAGAUGUCAUAGUCUUACAUAAUGUUUGCCAUAUUCUAUCCUUUCCUUGUAACUCGAUCAUUGGACACUGCUCAGGUUAGCAUGUUGUCCAUACAUGUAGGUGUCUUGUUUUGUUUUCAAAUGCAACUACUGAUCAGUCUUGUAUAUUUUGGUUUUGGUCCUUUUCCAUUUGGUGUCAAGAAACAACUUCCCUAGUCUUAACCAUUUCUGAUGCUAGGGCUGAUUUCCAUUGAAAAACUGAGGUGAAUUUUUCUGAUCAAGUUUUCAGUGUAUCUGUUAAAUUUUGGCAUCAAUGACAUAUGCAUCUGAAAUAAACUUUUCACUUCCACCUCUUCUUCUUCUGAAACCGCUGGGCCAGUAUCAACCAAACUUGGCUCAUUGUGGCACCCUUGAGUGAAAGACUUUUUAAAGUUGAAUGUUUCAAGUUAAUUAAGGGCCAGGCCCAGCAGGAGAGGGAUUCAAAGAUGGAAAGAAUUGUGAAAUUGAUAGAGAUGCAAAUUAGAAUAUGGAACUUUUAAGUUAAGUACCAAGGGCUCAGAGAGAGAGAGUGUUAUAUACUAUAGGUAAGCCAUAUAGUAACUAAGAAAAUAUUGUGAAAGAAUCUUCGCUAGCCAAGGAUUUCUGAUCCGCACUAUUCCUCACGAAGUCAAUUUUUCCAGUUUUGAAUCUGAUAUGAAUUGUGGUAUACAUGUAAGUGUUAAAUUUCUUUUUAACAAAGUACCAUCUGUAUUACAAUGAUUGGUUUUUAUUACAUUGAUAAUGAAAUUAUAAAAAGUAAACUGUUAUUUAUCAUUUACCAGUUUAAAGAUACCGGUACUUAAAUUUUUGUCUUAAGUAUUUACACUGUAUUCUUACACAAUGUAUAUUUGUUAUUGUUGAGAUGAAGAAAAUUAAUUUUUGUGAAACUGAAGGCCGACGGAUAUGUGUAAUAAAAAUUGAUCU